GACGAACGCUGGCGGCGUGCUUAACACAUGCAAGUCGAACGGAAAGGCCCCUUUGGGGGUACUCGAGUGGCGAACGGGUGAGUAACACGUGAGUAACCUGCCCUUGACUUCGGGAUAACUUCAGGAAACUGGGGCUAAUACCGGAUAGGAAUCCUUGCUGCAUGGUGGGGGUUGGAAAGCUUCGGCGGUUUUGGAUGGACUCGCGGCUUAUCAGCUUGUUGGUGGGGUAGUGGCUUACCAAGGCUUUGACGGGUAGCCGGCCUGAGAGGGCGACCGGCCACAUUGGGACUGAGAUACGGCCCAGACUCCGACGAGAGGCAGCAGGGGGGAAUAUUGCACAAGGGGCGGAAGCCUGAUGCAGCAACGCCGCGGGCGGGAGGACGGCCUUCGGGUUGGAAACCGCUUUCAGCAGGGGCGAAGCUUGUGGUGACGGUACCUGCAGAAGAAGCACCGGCUAACUACGUG
rnacentral:rRNA from 1 species